UCCGCUUUAAAAGCGGAGCUGUGUGUAGCUGGAGAGAGUCGCUGUAGCGAUGCCGAGCCCCGGAUCUGCCUUCAGUAACCGCCGGCCUGAUCUCUGCUGCACAGUGCGCAGUGUAGGCGCCGUCAUCACAGUGGACUAGUUCACCUGCGGAGUAUACAAACAUACGACCGACGGUUUGGAUUUGAACUCUCAUUGUUUCCUACAGGCUAUGUGACAGCCGGUAGACGGAACUUUACGCAGGGAAACAGCAGGUGAGUCUACGAGGCUACACCUGACGGAUAAUUCACCUCGCUGAAUUUGAAACCAGUUUGUAUUCUCCUCCCAACUCCACUUGUUGAUGGGGGGCUAACUAACGGGCUAUCCCAGCAGUCACACCGCGGUGAUAUAGCCUACUUAUGCGUAAAUUUUAUAAAACCCUGUCCGACGGCAGGGCCAAGGAAGUUUUAAAUGGUUAUGUUUUGUGGCAGAUGGUGGUGAUGUUUGGCGACCGGUAACAGCUCGCGACAUCAGAUCGUAUUACACAGGCUGCCACCGGGGUGAGGUGCGGCAUGGGGAACCAGAUGGAAAAGCUGUCACAUCUAAGUUACGCAGAAGUUCCCACAGUGGACCCGAACGGCGUGGACACGGAGGAAGGUCCGCGGAUCGGCGUCUCCUACAUAUUUUCUAACGACGACGACGAGCUGGAGGAAGGUUGCGCGGUCGAUGCCACCAAUAAGGACCCGAAUCAGGAAGAGAAACCAUACGACCAGCGCGACGAGGUGGAGUGCGCCGUCUACAACAGAGAUGAAUGCAUUUACGAGAAGAGCGUCAAGUCUGCCAACCUGGAGGUUUACUCCCCGGAGAAUCUACUAAACAAAUGUAAAGCAGGGGACCUCGUGGAGUUUGUUGCUACCGGUCAGUUCCCACACUGGGCUGUGUACGUGGGGGACUUCCAAGUGGUGCACCUGCACAGAGCCGAGGUGAAAAACAGCUUUUUGACAGAUGCAAGUCAAGGGAGGAGGUGUAGGGUUGUGAACGACUUGUACAAAUUCAGAUCUCUGGGUCCGGACAUGGUGGUGCAGAACGCGAUGGAACAAGUGGGCUUAAAAGACCGAGAGCUGAGCUGGAGGAACUCCGAGUGCUUUGCCGCCUGGUGCAGGUUUGGCAAGAGGGAGUUCAAGAUGGGUGGGGAGAUACGGAUAGGCAAGCAGCCCUACAGGUUGAAAAUAUUCAUGUCCGAGAAACAUUCGCACAUGUUAGAGUUUCAGAGUUUGGAGGACAUGAUCAUGGAGAAGAGGAGGAACGAUCACCUGGGCAGGACAGCUGUGUUGCAGGAGCUGGCCACUCACUUCAGCAGCGCGGGGGAGAUCAAAAGUGAGCCAGGCGCUGACUGAUGGCUGCCCUUAUACUGCUCUUCGAAAAAAAAUUGAUUUGCAAGUAGAGUAGCCUUUAUCGAACAUUAACUGUUACACCCUGCUUUAAUCUAUAGCAAGCCUUCACUCCUUCCGUUUUAUUUUUAAUUGGGGCACAUAUAUCACUAUUUCUAUUCGAAUAUUGUCAUUUUAAUUGUUUUCACGCGAGUCUAUAGGCUAUUACUGUAAUUGCCUUGAAGCCACAAUCACCAUCCUCAGAUGCUUAAUGGCCUUAGCAAUUAUGAAUUAAAUUUUGGGGGAAAAUUUUAAUUUGAUUGAAUUAGUUGAUAGGCCUGUUUGUAGGUACGAUAGCCCCUCCACAAAGAAUGUAUAGCCUAGUUUUAUAAAAGCUUUACACAUUUGUCUCAAACUGUCAUGAUUCUGAGUGACUGUUGUUCUAUUCAUGGUGUGUCCUGUUAUUUGAUCCUUGUGUGGUUUAACUUCAUCCCUCCGCUCACCCAGACGGAGCUGCUCGCUGAAUACAAGACGGAUUAUUUCUGCCUUUAAGGGUGAUUCUCGCACCAGCACAUGUUGGAGAAAAUGUUGUAGCGCUUGUGUUACACUGAUCAAAGUCUGUCUUACCCAAAGUUUGAGUAAAUCAUGACUCAUUGUCUCUUUUGACCCUUCUGUCAUAUUGUUUUACUUGCAUGCACAAUAAUAAGAAUUUCAUCAA